UCCGCCACUCCCUCGGCCUAGAUCUGCCGUUCGGAAGUAGCUGUGUGUUACCGUGGCCGCACGGUUGUCUUUUUCUCUGGGAUAGUGAGGGUUCUGAGUGCUCCUUACUUUGCGUAGCCCCCCAGAUGGCAAUGCCAAGCCGGUUGUGUCCCUUGGUCACUCAAUGAUGCUUCCCCCUCCUCCCCUCCCCACCUACUCCUUGGGUCUUAAGCAUCUUUCCUCCGGAAUCUUCUCAGAGGGACGGGCGAGGAGGCUAGGGUCUGGAAGAUGACAUCGUGUAGGCCUCAGAGAGGGCAGGGAAUAUGCAUGAACGUGCCCGGGGACGGUGAGUACCACACGCGAAAGGAAGACGUGUGAAGAGCGCUGAGGGGGUGCCGGCAGGAAGAGGGGCCGCCCCGAGUCACGGAAGACGCUCUGUGAUCACGGAAGCCAUCCUGUCCUGCGGGUCUGGGACCAGAGCUUCUGCUCGGUGGCAGGACGAGAGACUAAAGAAGACUAAUAGGAUGUUGUACUGGUUAAAAAAGAAAGGAAAAAAAAAAAAAAACCAAGGUAGGGAGCUGUUAACCAGGACCCAGCAGUGGCGCGAGGAGGAAAGGAAAAGAUUUGGUAACCGGAGAGGACGAGGGUUAGCUGUUCCGGCUCUAGUCCGUGUGACACGACUGCACUGGUCACGGUUCGGCUCUAGUCCGUGUGACACGACUGCACUGGUCACGGUUCAGCUCUAGUCCGUGUGACAUGACUGCACUGGUCACGGUUCAGCCCGCAUUGUAUCGGGAGCCGGUUGAGCGCAGGGAAGGAAGGAGAGCGGGGAGCGAGGAGGAAAUCACUUCCCGCAGCGCUGAUGGCCUGCCCCCAUCCGCUGCCCCUCGAAGUGGAGGAGCGGGAACGCUGAGGUUGGACCGGUGGGGAGCACGGACCCCAAGAGUGUUGCUGAGUGUUGGAAGGGUUUUUACGAAGAGAUUAGAAGCAAGAAAAACCGAAGCUGGGAGGCAGGCAGGCAGCCGCUGCAACACUUCAGGAAAGAGAAGCUGCUGUGGCUAGUGGCUCCCAAACUGGACGACAUAAAAUAUCUCCUGUUGGCCAAGUUCAGUUGUCUCACCUCCUUAUCCACCCUGCUUGAAGCCCUUAUGUCUUGCCUGGAAUACUGAAUGGAUCGUUUCUCCUGGGAAGAUGACUCCCUGAAGCAAUGUUCAGCUGCAUUAAGACCCUGUUUUAUUCAUUAUGUAAGUCCAGUGUCUUCCAUAGUCUUGUAAUAAUAGAAAUGUUGAGCUGCAAAGAAAUUUAAUUUGAAGAUAGAAUUCAUCCUACCUGUGCCAAAACCUUUACAUGGUGAUCUAUAGUAAUUUCUCAAAGGCAUUAAAUGCUGACCUAAUGACUCUCCUUAGUAAACCUCCUCUCAGCGUCA